AGUAAUUUCGUGAAGAGGAUGAACUUAUAGGCCAUAGUUAAGUAAAGUAAUAGACUGAGGUUGAUAUUUCUAUUUGAUGGGCUAGUAUAAUAUGUUCUAUGCUUCAUCGGUGUUACUUGAUUGGUGCUAGAUAAUAGGCUUGAACUUUAGAUUUGGAUUGUGGUGGUAAGAAUAGUAGCUUAAGGUUAAUGAUGCAUGUUUUAUGGGAGUAAGUAGUAGGCU
rnacentral:lncRNA from 1 species